GGAGUCUUUCGGGAUUUAGUGGCGGACGGGUGAGUAACGCGUGAGAAUCUGCCUUCAGGUUCGGGACAACAGCUGGAAACGGCUGCUAAUACCGGAUGUGCCGAGAGGUGAAAGCUUUAGUGCCUGGAGAUGAGCUCGCGUCUGAUUAGCUAGUAGGAGUGGUAACGGCACCCCUAGGCGACGAUCAGUAGCUGGUCUGAGAGGAUGAUCAGCCACACUGGGACUGAGACACGGCCCAGACUCCUACGGGAGGCAGCAGUGGGGAAUUUUCCGCAAUGGGCGCAAGCCUGACGGAGCAAGACCGCGUGAGGGAAGAAGGUCUGUGGAUUGUAAACCUCUUUUGAUAGGGAAGAAGAUAGUGACGGUACCUAUCGAAUCAGCCUCGGCUAACUCCGUGCCAGCAGCCGCGGUAAUACGGAGGAGGCAAGCGUUAUCCGGAAUUAUUGGGCGUAAAGAGUCCGUAGGUGGGUGACCAAGUCAGUUGUUAAAUAGUGAAGCUUAACUUCAUAGAGGCGACUGAAACUGGUCAUCUAGAGUGUGGUAGGGGUAGAGGGAAUUUCCAGUGUAGCGGUGAAAUGCGUAGAUAUUGGAAAGAACACCGGUGGCGAAAGCGCUCUACUGGGCCUGCACUGACACUGAGGGACGAAAGCUAGGGGAGCGAAAGGGAUUAGAUACCCCUGUAGUCCUAGCCGUAAACGAUGGAUACUAGGCGUUGCCCGUAUCGACCCGAGCCGUGCCGAAGC
rnacentral:rRNA from 1 species